GACUACCCGGGUAUCUAAGCCCGUUUGCUCCCCUGGCUUUCGUGCCUCAGCGUCAGGAACGGUCCAGAAAGCCGCCUUCGCCACUGGUGUUCUUCCAGAUAUCUGCGCAUUCCACCGCUACACCUGGAAUUCCACUUUCCUCUCCCGUCCUCUAGCCUGGUAGUUUCCAACGGCUUCUCCCUGUUAAGCAGUGGAGGUUUCACGUCAGACUUGCCAAACCGCCUACGCACGCUUUACGCCCAGUGAAUCCGAACAACGCUUGCCCCCUACGUAUUACCGCGGCUGCUGGCACGUAGUUAGCCGGGGCUUCCUCCGCAGGUACCGUCCCUCCCGUAUUGUCCAUACGGGCAUUCUUCCCUGCUGACAGUGGUUUACAACCGUAAGGCCUUCGUCCCACACGCGGCGUCGCUCGGUCAGACUUUCGUCCAUUGCCGAAGCCUCUCGACUGCAGCCCCCCGUAGG
rnacentral:rRNA from 1 species